rnacentral:rRNA from 1 species
AUACGGAGGGUGCAAGCGUUAUCCGGAUUUAUUGGGUUUAAAGGGUUCGUAGGCGGGGUAUUAAGUCAGUGGUGAAAUCCUACAGCUUAACUGUAGAACUGCCAUUGAUACUGGUACUCUUGAGUUUGGUUGAAGUGGGCGGAAUAUGUCAUGUAGCGGUGAAAUGCAUAGAGAUGACAUAGAACACCAAUUGCGAAGGCAGCUCACUAAACCAAUACUGACGCUAAGGAACGAGAGCGUGGGGAGCGAACAGGAUUAGAUACCCCGGUAGUCC